rnacentral:rRNA from 1 species
AUGUGGCCGCUACCCCCGAGUAGAGGAGGCGAAGCGAAGAUGCCAUCGCUGCCUAGCUACAUCUUCCUCCUCACCUCUGUCACCCUCUUCCUUCUGCCCCAACCGGCGAUGUCCUCCACCGACGCCAUCAUCCGGCUCCCUUAUGGCGACGAUAUCAUCGCCGAGACCUGCCAGAGAUGUGGCGAGAACAACCAGAACGUCGACUACGCCCUCUGCGUCGCCUCCCUCUCGGCCGACCCCUCAAGCCACGACGCCAGCCUCCACGGGCUCGCCCUCAUCUCCGCCAAGCUGGUGCAGGCCGGGGUGGCAGGCAUGGACUCCGGAAUGGCAGCGCUCCAGGGCAAGGAGACAACGAGGUCGACAAGGUGGUCCUGCCUCAACGCCUGCAUCGACGUGUUCCGCGACGCCAUGGCCGACCUCGACGACUCCAUCGCCGCCAUCGAGGACGGGAGGUACGCCGAUGCCGAGACGAAGAUGACCGCCACCACCGACGCACCGGUUACCUGCAACGACGAGUUCAAGGAGCAGGGAUUGCAGCCGCCCAUGGAAGGGGAGAGUCGGCGCCUGUUCCAGCACGGCGUCAUCUCCCUCGCCAUCAUCUCAUUACUCUGA